AUUGAACGCUGGCGGCAGGCCUAACACAUGCAAGUCGAACGAGUGGCGGACGGGUGAGCAAUGUCUGGGAAACUGCCCGAUGGAGGGGGAUAACUACUGGAAACGGUAGCUAAUACCGCAUACCCUCGGAUGUGCCCAGAUGGGAUUAGCUAGUAGGUGGGGCAACGGCUCACCUGGGCGACGCACCCUAGCUGGUCUGAGAGGAUGACCAGCCAAACUGGAACUGAGACACGGUCCAGACGCCUCGGGGAGGAAGAAGUGGGGAAUAUUGCACAAGGGGCGAAAGCCUGAUGCAGACAUGCCGGGUGUGUGAAGAAGGCCUUCGGGUUGUAAAGUACUUUCAGCGAGGAGGCGUUACUCGCAGAAGAAGCACCGGCUAACUCCGUGACAGCAGCCGCGGUAAUAC
rnacentral:rRNA from 1 species